rnacentral:rRNA from 1 species
CGGUUAAGCUAAUAAGAGCACACGGAGGAUGCCUAGGCGCCAGGAGCCGACGAAGGACGUGGCGAACAACGAAACUGCCUCGGGGAGCUGUAAGCAAGCUUUGAUCCGGGGGUGUCCGAAUGGGGAAACCCAGCUGUGGUAAUUCGCAGUUACUCAUUUCUGAAUACAUAGGAAAUGUAGAGGCAGACCAGGGGAACUGAAACAUCUAAGUACCCUGAGGAAGAGAAAACAAUAGUGAUUCCGUCAGUAGCGGCGAGCGAACGCGGAACAGCCUAAACCAAGGGGCUUGCCCCUUGGGGUUGUGGGACGUCUCACAUGGAGUUACAAAGGAAUAUGGUAGGCGAAGAGGUCUGGAAAGGCCCGCGAUAGAGGUAAAAGCCCUGUAGCCUAAACUGUGUUCUCUCCGAGACGGAUCCCGAGUAGUGCGGGGCACGUGAAACCCCGUAUGAAUCCAGCAGGACCAUCUGCUAAGGCUAAAUACUACCUGGCGACCGAUAGUGAAACAGUACCGUGAGGGAAAGGUGAAAAGCACCCCGGAAGGGGAGUGAAAUAGAACCUGAAACCGUGUGCUUACAAAAAGUCAGAGCCCUAUUACUGGGUGAUGGCGUGCCUUUUGUAGAAUGAACCGGCGAGUUACGUUUAACAUGCAAGGUUAAGGUGAGAAGCCGGAGCCGCAGCGAAAGCGAGUCUGAAUAGGGCGACUGAGUAUGUGGACGUAGACCCGAAACCGUGUGAUCUACCCCUGUCCAGGGUGAAGGUGCGGUAACACGCACUGGAGGCCCGAACCCACGCAUGUUGAAAAAUGCGGGGAUGAGGUGGGGGUAGCGGAGAAAUUCCAAUCGAACUCGGAGAUAGCUGGUUCUCCCCGAAAUAGCUUUAGGGCUAGCCUCGGUGAAUGGAGUGGUGGAGGUAGAGCACUGAUUGGGUGCGGGGCCCGCAAGGGUUACCAAGCUCAGUCAAACUCCGAAUGCCAUUAACUUCUUGCCGGGAGUCAGACAGUGAGUGCUAAGAUCCAUUGUCAAAAGGGAAACAGCCCAGACCAUCAGCUAAGGUCCCCAAGUGUGUGUUAAGUGGGAAAGGAUGUGGAGUUGCACAGACAACCAGGAUGUUGGCUUAGAAGCAGCCACCAUUGAAAGAGUGCGUAAUAGCUCACUGGUCGAGUGACUCUGCGCCGAAAAUGUAACGGGGCUAAACACACCACCGAAGCUAUGGCUAGAUGCUUUGCAUCUGGGGUAGGGGAGCGUUGUAUGUGGGUUGAAGGUGUACCGUAAGGAGCGCUGGACAGCAUACAAGUGAGAAUGCCGGUAUGAGUAACGAAAAGAUCAGUGAGAAUCUGAUCCGCCGAAAGCCCAAGGUUUCCUGAGGAAGGCUCGUCCGCUCAGGGUAAGUCGGGACCUAAGGCGAGGCCGAAAGGCGUAGUCGAAGGACAACAGUUUGAAAUUACUGUACCACCGUAAUCCGCUAUGAGCGAUGGGGUGACGCAGGAGGGUAGUGACGCGGACUGAUGGAUGUCCGUCUAAGCAGUGAGGCUGGUGUGUAGGCAAAUCCGCACACCGUAAGGCUGGGCUGUGAUGGGGAGCGAAAAUUGUAGUAGCGAAGGUCAUGAUCUCACACUGCCAAGAAAAGCCUCUAGCCAGGAGAAGGUGCCCGUACCGCAAACCGACACAGGUAGGCGAGAAGAGAAUUCUAAGGCGCGCGGAAGAACUCUCGUUAAGGAACUCGGCAAAAUGACCUCGUAACUUCGGGAGAAGAGGUGCCUCGGUAGGGUGAAUAGCCCGAGGGGGCCGCAGUGAAAAGGCCCAAGCGACUGUUUAGCAAAAACACAGGUCUGUGCGAAGCCGCAAGGCGAAGUAUACGGGCUGACGCCUGCCCGGUGCUGGAAGGUUAAGGGGAGUGGUUAGGAGCAAUCCGAAGCUGUGAACCGAAGCCCCAGUAAACGGCGGCCGUAACUAUAACGGUCCUAAGGUAGCGAAAUUCCUUGUCAGGUAAAUUCUGACCCGCACGAAUGGCGUAACGACUUGGGCGCUGUCUCAACGAGAGAUCCGGUGAAAUUUUAAUACCUGUGAAGAUGCAGGUUACCCGCGACAAGACGGAAAGACCCCAUGGAGCUUUACUGCAGCUUGAUAUUGAAUUUGGGUACGAUCUGUACAGGAUAGGUGGGAGCCGUUGAGGCAGGAGCGCAAGCUUCUGCGGAGGCGCCGUUGGGAUACCACCCUGAUCGUAUCUAGGUUCUAACCUGGUACCCUAAGCGGGUACGGGGACCGUGUCAGGCGGGCAGUUUGACUGGGGCGGUCGCCUCCUAAAGAGUAACGGAGGCGUUCAAAGGUUCCCUCAGAAUGGUUGGAAAUCAUUCGCAGAGUGCAAAGGCAUAAGGGAGCUUGACUGCGAGACCUACAAGUCGAGCAGGGACGAAAGUCGGACUUAGUGAUCCGGUGGUACCGCAUGGAAGGGCCAUCGCUCAACGGAUAAAAGCUACCCUGGGGAUAACAGGCUUAUCUCCCCCAAGAGUCCACAUCGACGGGGAGGUUUGGCACCUCGAUGUCGGCUCAUCGCAUCCUGGGGCUGAAGUAGGUCCCAAGGGUUGGGCUGUUCGCCCAUUAAAGCGGUACGCGAGCUGGGUUCAGAACGUCGUGAGACAGUUCGGUCCCUAUCUGUCGUGGGCGCAGGAAAUUUGAGAGGAGCUGUCCUUAGUACGAGAGGACCGGGAUGGACGUACCGCUGGUGCAUCAGUUGUUCCGCCAGGAGCAUGGCUGAGUAGCUACGUACGGACGGGAUAAGCGCUGAAAGCAUCUAAGCGUGAAGCCCCCCUCAAGAUGAGAUUUCCCAACUAGUAAGACCCCUUGAAGACGACGAGGUAGAUAGGUUGGAGGUGGAAGUGCAGCAAUGCAUGGAGCUGACCAAUACUAAUCGGUCGAGGGCUUAUCCAAAA